rnacentral:sRNA from 1 species
GUUGCUUAAUGCCGGAGGCUCCGGCAACGGGAGACCCAACUACAGGGGUGUAUUCGCCAUGCGCGAUAGGGGACCUUCUUCCACGAACCCGACAGCUAAUCUCGUCAGCAUAAGAGGG